GUUAAAUUCAGGAAGAAUACGACGAACAAAAUAUUGAUGAGACAGGAAUCCGCGUGAUGCAAGAAAGCAACGGAAUGGAUAAUUCGAUUGCGGACAAUGUUAUUUAGUUAUAGCCAGAAACAAAAAAGAGCCCAUGUAUUAAAUGGACUCUUUCGCUGAUGCCUCGGUUAAUCUGUCCAGGUUUUUGGGGUCAGUACAAAGUGAGCCCACCUCUGCCAUUCUUGUGGCGUUAUGCAUUCUCAAGGCACUCUGUUAAUUUUAUCUUGUUGGCGUUUUAUAGGCCCGAUAACCCAUUAUGUUAUCGGGCAUUUUUUUAACGUAAUGGUAA
rnacentral:sRNA from 2 species